UCAGUCCUGAAAGCUUGCAUUGCACCCACUGUUAGCUAUUAAAGGUAUCACCUGUACAUCGCUUUUGCUAUUUUCCUACAAAAGGAUUUUUUUUACUUUCUUAAGAGCUGGACGAAGAGAUAAGACUACAAUUUCCUGAUUGACGUUAUCUGAAGAUACAACCUUAGGAAGGAAGGAGUAGUUAGUUCUUACAACCACUUUAUCCUGAUGAAAAAUGAGCUGCAUAUCUUAUUCUAUGAAGAGCUGACCGUGGCAUCUUUCACCAUCUGAUAUAAUUCGCCUGUGGAGUGGGUUCUUUGUUAUUCUUUUUUUAACUGGUGACAGUGGGUCUUAGUAUUUGUUUUCACAUAAAGAACACUACAUAGCAACAUAAA